rnacentral:lncRNA from 12 species
AUGUGGGCGCAGCUGCUAGAAGGUGCAUUCGAAUGUCCUGGCCUUGAAGGUUCAAACGAAGGGCUGAAAUUCGACCUGUGCGUGUUGAGCAUCUCGUGUGCCGGGCCUGGCCUGGGAGCCGCUGUCCAGCAGCGCGAGGAGGACCAGGCUGUUCCCGAGCUCGGUGUGUGCGUGCAUGCUAACUUCCCAUACCAGUCCGCAGCCUCUGUGACGGCCGUCGUCGUGAGAAGCCACUGGGGCCCAGGGUGUGGCUGGCAAUGGCUGUGGCUUCUUGGCGGGGGGGGGGGGCCCGUGGAGGCCCCAGUUGGGAGCACAGCCUGGAGGGGAGCCCUCUGGUGUCAGGACGGAGGGGGGCAGGCCGGUGACCCGUUGCCUGGCCAGCGGUCCUGCAACUGGAGAGACAAAGGAGGAAGGCGGCGCUGCUGCCUGGGGGGUCUUCCCCCACGUAGCGGGGAGGCAGACAAGGGCAUGCCCCAGGGCGCGGGGCUCCCCGGGGAGGCGGCGGGCCUGGGGGCCGAAGUGGCCUGCGGGCGCCUUCAGGGAAAUGAGCAGGGAGCAGGGGCGGCCGGAACGGGGGCGCGCGGCACAGCCGAGGGAGUGCGCAGCUGCGGAGCCCGGGGGCACGGGGGCACGGGCCCGAGUCCCGCGGGGAGACCUGCGCGCGGCCGGACCGAGCCGGGCGCCCGGGGACGCUGCGCCGUGGCCUCGUCACUCGGGGGCCUGCCCGGUGGGCCGGAAGCACGGCGGCAGCGGGAGGGGGCGCUCGGAGCCCGCCGCCCCACUGCGGCCACACGUCCCCAAGGGGCCCUCCCGUGCCGCUCCCGAGCGCCGGCGCUAGCCCCUCGCCAGGGCCCCGGCACGGCCCUGCACCCCUCGGGGCCCCACUCGGGCGGCCGCCGCCCCCGCCUCCGGGAAGCCCGCCUCGCCGCCUCUUGGCCCAGGGGCGCGGCCGCCCCGCGCACGGCCUGCCCGCGGCGCCCCCGUGUGGCCGAGGCCCGAGGCGGCGGCGGCGGCGGCGGCGGGCAAGAUGGCGGCGGGCCCGGGCCCCGCCCCUUCCGCCCCGCCGGGCGCCGCACGAGGCCGGCUUAA